GACGAACGCUGGCGGCGUGCCUAACACAUGCAAGUCGAGCGGAGUCAGUAAGAGGAAGUUUUCGGAUGGAAUCUUAUUGAUUUAGCGGCGGACGGGUGAGUAACGCGUGAGCGACCAACCUUGCACAGGGGGAUAACGGACCGAAAGGUUCACUAAUACCGCAUGAGAACACGGUGUUGCAUGCCACAGAGGUCAAAGGAACAAUCCGGUGCAAGACGGGCUCGCGUACGAUUAGGUAGGUGGAGGGGUAACGGCCCACCAAGCCUAUGAUCGGUAGCCGACCUGAGAGGGUGAUCGGCCACAUUGGAACUGAGAUACGGUCCAAACUCCUACGGGAGGCAGCAGUGGGGAAUAUUGGGCAAUGGGGGAAACCCUGACCCAGCAACGCCGCGUGAAGGAAGAAGGUUUUCGGAUUGUAAACUUCUGUCCUUGGUGAAGAGAAGAAGACGGUAGCCAAGGAGGAAGCCCCGGCUAACUACGUGCCAGCAGCCGCCGUAA
rnacentral:rRNA from 1 species